AAGUCGUGGACGUGGAUAACCUCGGGAAACUGAGAAUAAACCACGAUAGAUCAUAGUGCCUGGAAUGGCUUAUGGUCCAAACAGUUUACUGCCAUGGGAUGGGACUGCGGCCUAUCAGCUUGUUGGUGAGGUAAUGGCCCACCAAGGCGAUUACAGGUACGGGCUCUGAGAGGAGAAGCCCGGAGAUGGGUACUGAGACACGGACCCAGGCCCUAUGGGGCGCAGCAGGCGAGAAACCUUAGCAAUGUGCGAAAGCACGACUGGGUCAGUCCGAGUGAUUCCUGAUAAAGGAGUCUGUUUGCUUGUCCUAAAAGCACAGGUGAAUAAGGGGUGGGCAAGUCUGGUGUCAGCCGCCGCGGUAAUACCAGCACCUCGAGUGGUCAGGACGUUUAUUGGGCCUAAAGCAUCCGUAGCCGGCUUUGCAAGUCUUCGGUUAAAUCCACCUGCUCAACAGAUGGGCCGCUGGAGAUACUACAGAGCUAGGGAGUGGGAGAGGCAGACGGUAUUCAGUGGGUAGGGGUAAAAUCCUCUGAUCCAUUGAGACCACCAGUG
rnacentral:rRNA from 1 species